rnacentral:rRNA from 1 species
GACUUAGGUGGCGGACGGUGAGUAAUGUAUGAGCAACCUGCCUUUCAGUGGGGGACAACAGUUGGAAACGACUGCUAAUACCGCAUAACGUACAGGAGGGGCAUCCCCUUUGUACCAAAGGAGCAAUUCGCUGAAAGAUGGGCUCAUAUCUGAUUAGUUAGUUGGUGGGGUAACGGCUCACCAAGACUGCGAUCAGUAGCCGGACUGAGAGGUUGAACGGCCACAUUGGGACUGAGAUACGGCCCAGACUCCUACGGGAGGCAGCAGGUGGGGAAUAUUGGGCAAUGGGCGAAAGCCCUGACCCAGCAACGCCGCGUGAAGGAAGAAGGUCUUCGGAUUGUAAACUUCUUUAUGAGGACGAAGGACGUGACGGUACCUCAUGAAUAAGCCACGGCUAACUACGUGCCAGCCGCCGC